GAUGUAGUUUUUCUAGUUUAGAAUAUGUUAUUUAAAUGUUUUAAUGAACUUUCUUUCUUUCAAAAUAUAGACCAACCAAAUCAAGGAGGACACAUGACAGAUGUAAUAAUAGACCUCUUGCAAAUAAAAGGAGUGAGCAUGGUCAACUUGCAGUAUCUGUGAACGUGACCUUAUUUGUAAAUGGGGUCUCUGCAGACAGUCCGGGUAAGAUGAAGUCAUUAAAGUGGGUCCCGAUCCUAUAUGACUGUGCCCUUAUAAAGGGGGGGGGAUUUGGACACAGAGACAGACACACAUAUAGGGAAGGUGACCUGAAGACCCAGGAGAACACCCUCUAUAAGUCAAGAAUGGCUUACGCCACCAGAAGCUAGGGGAGAAGCUUAGGAGGCACUCUCUCUCAUCGCCCUCAGAAAGAGCCCAGGCUGCCCACACAUUGAUCCCAGCCUUUUAGGCUCCAGAGCUGUGGAACAAUACAUUUCUGCUGUUAAAAUUGUCCAGUCUGUAC
rnacentral:lncRNA from 1 species